CUCCUGAAUAACGCUCAGGUGCUCCACAGAUUUGUCAUUUCUUCGUUCUGUCGCUUCUUGUUGCAGUUUUGGUGGAUUUAUGGCUGAAAAGACACAAGUUGGUGAAUCCCAUGAUGAACCUGCUGACCCCCACAGCGUCCAGCUUCUCCGGUUUGAGGGUUCACCUCAGAGGUUCCCUUCAUGACUGUGAGGCUUCAGAAGUUUCAGCUUCAAGGGGAGAAAAGGCGGGAAAAGUGAGCAUUUUCCUCCCCGCAUUGAUGCAAAAAAAACAGCUGCAGCUGCGGCUCAGCAGAGAAAUGACAACAGCAUUCAUCACACUCUCGGCUGCUCUGAACAACUGCUCCAGCAAAGUUUGAGGCAGAAGUUCUGCCACUUCGUCUGGAGAAAUGUCAGAAAACCUCCUGCCCGUUUGAAGGCUGCAGGAGCAUCGCACUAAAUGACAGCAGCUCAUCGUCUGCAUACGAUGAUACUCAUCAGAGAUGUCGGUGAACGUUGGAAAAUGUGGAAAAAGCAUCUGUAAAAGUUUUGAAUUCUGUCUGUUCAUUUGGCACAGGUUGUUUCCAUCCAUCCAGUCCUGAAUGUUGUUAGAGACGCAGUGAUUGGAUUCAGUCAUUUCUAGUCAUUUUCAUAUAGAAAACUGAUAACUGCUAAAUGUCUUCU